rnacentral:rRNA from 1 species
GACGAACGCUGGCGGCGUGCCUAAUACAUGCGAGUCGAGCGCAGGAAAUCGACGGAACCCUUCGGGGGGAAGUCGACGGAAUGAGCGGCGGACGGGUGAGUAACACGUAAAGAACCUGCCCUCAGGUCUGGGAUAACCACGAGAAAUCGGGGCUAAUACCGGAUGGGUCAUCGGACCGCAUGGUCCGAGGAUGAAAGGCGCUCCGGCGUCGCCUGGGGAUGGCUUUGCGGUGCAUUAGCUAGUUGGUGGGGUAAUGGCCCACCAAGGCGACGAUGCAUAGCCGACCUGAGAGGGUGCUCGGCCACACUGGGACUGAGACACGGCCCAGACUCCUACGGGAGGCAGCAGUAGGGAAUCUUCCACAAUGGACGAAAGUCUGAUGGAGCAACGCCGCGUGAACGAUGAAGGCCUUCGGGUCGUAAAGUUCUGUUGUAAGGGAAGAACAAGUGCCGCAGGCAAUGGCGGCACCUUGACGGUACCUUGCGAGAAAGCCACGGCUAACUACGUGCCAGCCGCCGCGGUAA